AUGGGACAAAAAAUACAUCCGCUUGGUUUCAGACUUGGUACAACUCAAAGUCAUGAUUCUAUUUGGUUUGCACAACCAAGAAUUUAUUCCGAGAAUAGACCCGAAUAUUCUGCAGAAUUUCUAGCCAGACAAUUAAAGAAUAGAAUUCCGUUUCGUAAAGCAAUGCAAAAAACUAUAAAAAAAUUCGCUGAAGAGGCAGGUGCAGGUACAAAAGGAGUUCAAAUACAAAUUGCGGGACGCAUCGACGGAAACGAAAUUGCACGUGUCGAAUGA